CCCUUAGACGUUCUGGGCCGCACGCGCGCUACACUGACCGGUGCAACAAGCAUCCGUCCUUGGCCGACAGACCCGGGCAAUCUUUGAACGCCGGUCGUGAUGGGGAUAGACUUUUGCAAUUUUUGGUCUUCAACGAGGAAUUCCUAGUAAACGCAAGUCAUCAACUUGCAUUGAUUACGUCCCUGCCCUUUGUACACACCGCCCGUCGCACCUACCGAUUGAAUGGUCCGGUGAAGCCUCCGGAUUGGCGCGCACCUCGGUGCCGCCGAGAAGUUGGCUAAACCUUACCAUUUAGAGGAAGGUGAAGUCGUAACA
rnacentral:rRNA from 1 species